UGCAUUCGUUUAUUCCGAAGUCCCUUACUUCCAGGGUUAUAGGACUGGCACUAAAUCCAUAGCUGCCAAUGUUCGUUCGUAAAGCACUAAUUCCAUAGCUGCUAUAGUUUAUUCAUCGGGUACUAAAUCCAUAGCUACCAGUGUUUAUCUAAUAGGUACUAAGUCCAUAGCUACCAAUUCCUAACAGGUACUAAAUCCAUAGCUACCAGUGUUUAUCUAAUAGGUACUAAGUCCAUAGCUACCAAUUCCUAACAGGUACUAAAUCCAUAGCUACCAGCGUCUAACUAAUUGGUACUAAGUCCAUAGCUACCAAUUCCUAACAGGUACUAAAUC
rnacentral:lncRNA from 1 species